rnacentral:rRNA from 1 species
UACAGAGGGUGCAAGCGUUAAUCGGAAUUACUGGGCGUAAAGGGCGCGUAGGUGGAUAAGUGUGUUGGAUGUGAAAGCCCCGGGCUCAACCUGGGAGGGUCAUUCAAAACUGCUUAUCUAGAGUACAGUAGAGGGAAGUGGAAUUUCCGGUGUAGCGGUGGAAUGCAUAGAUAUCGGAAGGAACACCAGUGGCGAAGGCGGCUUCCUGGACUGUUACUGACACUGAGGCGCGAAAGCGUGGGGAGCAAAC